rnacentral:rRNA from 1 species
CCAGCAGCCGCGGUAAUACGUAGNUCCCGAGCGUUGUCCGGAUUUAUUGGGCGUAAAGCGAGCGCNGGCGGUUAGAUAAGUCUGAAGUUAAAGGCUGUGGCUUAACCAUAGUACGCUUUGGAAACUGUUUAACUUGAGUGCAGAAGGGGAGAGUGGAAUUCCAUGUGUAGCGGUGAAAUGCGUAGAUAUAUGGAGGAACACCGGUGGCGAAAGCGGCUCUCUGGUCUGUAACUGACGCUGAGGCUCGAAAGCGUGGGGAGCGAACAGGAUUAGAUACCCUGGUAGUNCACGCCGUAAACGAUGAGUGCUAGGUGUUAGGCCCCUUCCGGGGCUUAGUGCCGCAGCUAACGCAUUAAGCACUCCGCCUGGGGAGUACGACCGCAAGGUUGAAACUCAAAGGAAUUGACGGGGGCCCGCACAAGCGGUGGAGCAUGUGGUUUAAUUCGAAGCAACGCGAAGAACCUUACCAGGUCUUGACAUCCCGAUGCCCGCUCUAGAGAUAGAGUUCUACUUCGGUACAUCGGUGACAGGUGGUGCAUGGUUGUCGUCAGCUCGUGUCGUGAGAUGUUGGGUUAAGUCCCGCAACGAGCGCAACCCUUAUUGUUAGUUGCCAUCAUUCAGUUGGGCACUCUAGCGAGACUGCCGGUAAUAAACCGGAGGAAGGUGGGGAUGACGUCAAAUCAUCAUGCCCCUUAUGACCUGGGCUACACACGUGCUACAAUGGCUGGUACAACGAGUCGCAAGUCGGUGACGGCAAGCUAAUCUCUUAAAGCCAGUCUCAGUUCGGAUUGUAGGCUGCAACUCGCCUACAUGAAGUCGGAAUCGCUAGUAAUCGCGGAUCAGCACGCCGCGGUGAAUACGUUCCCGGGCCUUGUACACACCGCCCGUCACACCACGAGAGUUUGUAACACCCGAAGUCGGUGAGG